GCUGUAGAAAGAGAGUUUUGUUCAGCUUUUAACCACAACAAAGAAAAAUUACCAGAAAUCAUAUUAUUAAAUAGAAAUUGACGUUUAGUCCCAUAUUUGUUGGGCUUUAAACAGUCUAGUCUAUUCCCUCACGCGGUCCAAAUUUACGAAAUCCUGAAGGAGUUAAUCCUUUUACAAACGAUUCAAUCCAAAUCGAAUUUCUCUGAUGACAAAAGUAACCCUCCUCCAGAAAAAAGUGCUCAUUCAAUUAGUAGCUACUCUUCUUAGGACUGACAACAAAUCGUCGACGAAAGAAAAACCAAACAAUCUUCGUUUUCCUUUUAUGUUUCGAUGGAGAUUUCUUCGAUUAUCUUCUUCAUCUCUAUCUCUCAAAUCGGAAGGGUGUAAAUGGUGAGUCACUGCAGUACAAAUAGAAUAGUGAUAAUACUGACCAUGAAUUCAACUACUGGUUUGUCUUAUACAAGUCAAGGUCAUCCAGCUCCCAACUCUCCACCAUAUUUUGGACCUUCAAGGAAGUUGGAUUUUGAGCUAGAAAUGGCUGUUGUACUAGGUUCGCGAAACAAGUUAGGAGAGUCUGUGGAUGUCAAUGACGCAGCUGAUUACAUUUUUGGUCUUACGACAGUAGGUUGAGUUCAGUAGACCUUAAAAUGGUAGUCAACGAGUAAUGUCCAGUAGCUCACUAGUUCAAAGAGUAAUUGGCAGCAAAAUUCUUUUGAUGUGAUUCAAAACAGUAGAUAUCUUAUCCGAAGAAGAUUCUUUGCUGCACUCUAAUGACUGGAAGGAGCAAUCCAAUUCUUCAUGAAUAAAUACGACUAAGCACUAGAGACAUAUCAAGAAGGAAGGACUAAAACAUGGCCAAAAUAACCAGGAAUUGAUGGAUGGUGUAAGAAGAUGUGUGGCACAAAUUCACAACACGAACUGUGGUGAUAUCACUGCUGAUGAUUUGAACGAGAGACAGGCUUUGCAGGAUCCAGAGAUCUAGAAUAUUUUAUCCAUCCAGUCACGAGACUGGUUCAUAUUUUACUGAAGGACCUUGUGCAUAAGGCUGUCCGUAAGACUGUGAGGGAAGCUGGUGUUGAUGACAAAGGUGAAGUUAUUGAGAUCUCAAAAUGGGAAUGUAUAAUAUGGCUUGCAAAGGUUAAUAAUACUCUGUGAAGGAGACUUUCGCUAAAUGUUUGUGAAGCAGACUUUGUCCGCACUGAUAAUGAGAGGGUCUCUUGACAUUCAGGUUACCAUCCUUCUAUAAGUGUACAUAUUGGUGCACCUGGAAUACAAGUGUACAUAUUGAUGCACCUGCAACAAGAUGAGUAAAACAUACACAUAGUAAUUUCCUUACUAUUACUUUCGUCAAGUCAUAGUAAUUUCUGUCACAAAUGGCAGUUGUCAGUGUCAAUGGUGUAAAAGCUGAGAUGUGACUUAUGAUGUUGACUCGUAUGGUAUUACAGAUGUUGGAAACGCUCCACUUUGUUGCAAAAACUUCUAAAAUGUUAGGCCGCACGAGCUUGCAGUUUUUACAAGACAUGGUCGGUCAAAUUGAUGUUCCGAGGAAAACAUUUGCACUAUCAUGAAACAUGAAGGCAUUUGGAUCUCUUAUGUUUCAACAUUUUCUCCGCUAGGUUUGCGGAAAAUUACGUGGACUGUGGUAUCCAUCCCUUAAAAUAAGAAGUAGGAGUUCUAAACAUCAGCUUUCAUUUUCUUUCGGUAGAAGUACAUGAUGUUAGUUACAUCAUCAUAUAAGGCUGAAAUUUCUAAAUAUCGAUAUGUAAUGUGGACCAUGCCAUUGCUUUCAACAUGAUUACAUGUAGAAUUUGCAUUUUAUCUCUAUCGGUAUCUUUACAUGGUACUUCACUUGAAUGAGUAUUUCUUUAUCUUGAUCGAUGAU